UUCUUCAUGCUUCCACCCUUUGGCCGGCCAAAAAGGGAGAGACCUUUUCUAUUUUUUUUCUUCUUAUCAUGUUCAACACUAGAACUUUCUCUUUCCUUUGUCAUUAAGUAUUUUCUUCUUUCUUUCUUUCACCCACCGUCACUUGCACCUUGUGAAGAAAUUCUUCCUCCCAAACCGUGGCUUCACCAUAAUCAGCCAAACCUCAAGCUCUUCUCUCCAUUUCUUCCCUGUUUCUUCCCUUUAUCCUUCCUCUACAUGAAGUUCUUUCCUUUUCCUUCCCCAUAGCUGAAAUUAUGGUGGAUUGGUGAGUUGAUUCAAGAGUUCUAAGCUAAGGAAAUUUGAGUGUGAGAACCAGUGUCUUGGAGUGGGGAAAAUCCAGCAAAAAUCAGGAACUAUAUACUUGAAUUGGUAGCAAAUUAGCAUCCCAAAAUUUUAAGAUAAGUAAUCAGUUUUAAGAUUUUGUUCAUCAUCUUGAAGUUGGCUACAAUAUAGGUAAUGGCAUCUCUAGACUUCCACUCAAAGUUGCUUC